rnacentral:rRNA from 1 species
GACGAACGCUGGCGGCGUGCCUAUACAUGCAAGUAGGACGCAGUUGCGAACGGGUGAGUAACGCGUAGGUAACUACCUAUUAGAGGGGGAUAACUAUUGGAAACGAUAGCUAAUACCGCAUACUAGUAGAUGGACCUGCGUUGUAUUAGCUAGUAGGUAGGGUAAUGGCCUACCUAGGCAACGAUACAUAGCCGACCUGAGAUGGUUGUCGGCCACCUCUGGACUGGGUCACGGUUCAGACUCCUACGGGAGGCAGCAGUAGGGAAUCUUCGGAAAUGGGGGGAAACCUGGCCGAGCAACGCCGCGUUAGUGAAGAAGGUUUUCGGAUGGUAAAGCUCUGUUGUUAAGGAAGCGGUACUUAACCAGAAAGGGACGGCUAACUACGUGCCAGCAGCCGCGGUAAUAC